rnacentral:rRNA from 1 species
GAUGAACGCUGGCGGCGUGCCUAAUACAUGCAAGUCGAGCGAACAGACGAGGAGCUUGCUCCUCUGACGUUAGCGGCGGACGGGUGAGUAACACGUGGAUAACCUACCUAUAAGACUGGGAUAACUUCGGGAAACCGGAGCUAAUACCGGAUAAUAUAUUGAACCGCAUGGUUCAAUAGUGAAAGACGGUUUUGCUGUCACUUAUAGAUGGAUCCGCGCCGCAUUAGCUAGUUGGUAAGGUGACGGCAUACCAAGGCAACGAUGCGUAGCCGACCUGAGAGGGUGAUCGGCCACACUGGAACUGAGACACGGUCCAGACUCCUACGGGAGGCAGCAGUAGGGAAUCUUCCGCAAUGGGCGAAAGCCUGACGGAGCAACGCCGCGUGAGUGAUGAAGGUCUUCGGAUCGUAAAACUCUGUUAUUAGGGAAGAACAAAUGUGUAAGUAACUAUGCACGUCUUGACGGUACCUAAUCAGAAAGCCACGGCUAACUACGUG